rnacentral:rRNA from 1 species
GUUUGGCCUCGGAUCAGGCGGGGAUACCCGCUGAACUUAA